GGAUUUCACACUAGAAUGAUUUUUUUUGGCAACAGUAAUGUUUUGUUUUUUUUUUACUAUGGGGUUCAAUAUCCCAACUGAUAUAAAAGAUUUGAGAUACCAUUCUACAUAAUAUAUUUGAUACUAUUACAAUUGCACUAAUAGGACUGAUUUUAAUCAUGACAUUCAUGUGGUUCAUGCAAACUUGAUUCAAAUAAUAACUAGCAAGCAGUGCUCAGUCAGAAAGUAUACCUAUCAUCAGAUAGGAAAUCCGUUGUUUUAUUUUCAGCCAUACUUUAGCAUACAUGCUGAAAUCCUGUAUGAACAUGAUGAGCAUAGUUAGUGACUCCCUCCUGACUAACUAUAGAGUGUAAUUUGUUCAAGUAUUUAAGUUUAUUUGUGGAUAUUGAUAUCCACUUGUAAACAGGACAGUGAUCAAUCUACCCAUCAUGAUUCAUGGAUUAUCAUUUUUACUUUAUUUUGUUGGAGGGCCUGUACUGUACAACUUAUCAGGACUGCCUGCUCUGAUUUUUGAUGUGACAGAUUUAUUGUUGCUAGAACAGCAAUAAAUACAUUCAUAAACCAAU
rnacentral:misc_RNA from 1 species